ACUCAGCCAAGUUGGUGAUUGUUGUAUCAACCCUGGUGUUUCUGUUUGGCUCACUGCCUCAAGGCCAUGCACAGGUGCAACCACAACUUGUUACAGGACUUACAGGUCUACUUAACAUAACCCAGAUCCAAUUUACCACCGUGCAGCUGGCCUGCACCCCUACUGGAAACCCUCCAAGUACAGGCGGUGGAGUUGCAGGGGUUGCCGGAGCGCUUCUUAGCGGCACGUGCAACGGUGCUAGUGGCAGCCUUGGCAGGGUUUUCACAAAUGCCAGUGGAUUUGCUCAAGGUAUAUUAACUCUUGCAGAAGGUAUUGUCAUUGAUCCUAGUAGAGGAAUGCCGUGUUUUAUCAACACGCGCCUUCCUGUUACUGGAACCACUUGUACAGUCUUGCCUCCCACAGGACUCCUGGAAGCAGUUUUUCAGUUGGUUAGUGUGGUUACCAGUCCUCUUGGUGGUCUUCUUGCUGUUGCCACCACCGGACCGUGGGUGAUUAUGCCCUAGCCAACGAGGCAUACAAAAGCAAUCCAAUCCACCCACACCACUAAUAUCCAAUGGCAAAUUAUAUAUAUGUAUAAGUUGAUUCUCUGUGGAAAAUAAUUAUCUGCAUUUAUGUAUAUGCAUGCUUCUACUGCAUGCAUGUAAGUGUUUCGUGCUCUAAAAUGCAGCAUGCAAUAUUGUGUAAUGCUAUGUAAUUUCACUUUAUUCAUAAUAAAGAAGAAUCAAUUACUAAUAUCAUGCGAAAAGUUUAAGUAUAUUAUUGAAGCUUUGCAGGAUUCUGAUAAUAAUACAGCAAAAUAUACACGAGCCAAUAUAUAAAUAAAUUAUAUAAAAAUUAAAUCUCUAAAAGACAAUAUAAUUAAAUUUUAAAAAAUAUUUUAUUAAAUUUCAAUAUAUUAUCGUAUAUUUUUUCAUAUAAAAAUUUAUAUAAUGAUAUCGAAAAAAAAACUAUAUAAAUAUCUUUUCCAAGAAUUAAAUACAAACAAUUAUUUAUAUAAUGACAGACAAACAAACAUUCUCUUCUUAAUUAUAACGUAUUCUACUAUAAAUUAAAUACGAACCAUUAUAUAUAUAACUUUUUUUUAUCCUAACAUGUUGUAUAUCACUAUAAAUACGAACCAUUAUAUAUCCCUUAUUAAAUUUAACACCCUUGUUAAAUUUAACACUGUUUAUUCCAAGACAAAUAUAUUUUUCUUACAAAUGAAGAUAUAUGAAAUAUGAAAAAUAUGAUACAAAAUUAAUCGAAAAAUUAACACAUUAUCACACAUUAAUAUUAGAAAAACAUUUAGAGAUAGAUGAUAAAAAAUAGUUUACUGUUUAGAGAUUUAUAAUAUAAAAAUUAUAAUAAUAAGUUUUUAAGAGAAAAUAUAAAUAAUCAAUUAAUAUAAUUAAAUUAAGUUUUAAUUUAUUGAUAUUAAAAUAUUAAUAAAAUAAUGUAACAUUUUAAAUUAUACUCCCUCCGUCCCCUGAAUUGUUUACGUACACUGUUUGCACGCAUUUUGAGUCUCGUAUAAAGUAUAGUUUCAUAAUUUUUUUUUUAAAUUUUCUUUUUUUGAAUAAAAGUUUAAAUAUCAAACUUUUAUUUAGAGAAAAAAAAUUUAAAAAUACAUUAUGGAACUAUACUUUAAACAAGCCUUAAAAAACGUGCCAAAAAAGUAAUGUAGAGAAAUGAGGGGACAGAGAGAGUAUAUAAUAAAUUUUAAACUAAAUAGGUCAAUGUAUUAAGAUCACUACUUUUUCGCAUACAAGCUCCUUUAAAAUAUAGUCCCAUAAUAUUUUAAAUAUUUUUUUAAAUAAAAGUUUUAAUUUUAAAUUUUUAUUAAAAAAUAUAUGUGAAUUAGAAAAAUAUUAUAAAAUUAUAUUUUAAAAAAAUCUCCCGUGCAAAGAAAUCAACCUAACGAGUGAGAGACAAAUGUGAAGAAAAGUCUGUUUGUGUCAAUGACUGGGUUUUAAAUAAUAGGACGCAUACCGGAUCAGGAAAUGUGAAAGAUACAGCAUGGAGCACGGGAGGGACCCACUUAAUAACUUCUUUUGGACUAAAUAUUUUCACCAAAAAAAUUAUAUACCAUUAAUAAACUAUUCAAAAGGUAUACUCAAUAUGUAUAUAUAUACACGACAAAGAUAGAUGUAUGGCGGUAUGAGUACAAUGAGUCUGCCAUCUCUUCUUACGUGUUCUGAACAAAUCGAUUCAUAAAAAAAAAAUAUUUGCACCAUACGGAGCCUGAAUUUCAUACUUUGAGGAAUCUCUAUAUAUUAGGAGGGUUGCUCAUUGAGCUCCUCACACAUUUAAAUUACAAUGGCUUAUUAUAACUCAGCCAAAUUGGUGAUUGUUGUAUCAACCCUGGUGUUGCUGUUUGGGUCACUGCCACAAGGCCAUGCAGAGGUGCAACCACAAGCUAUUCCAGCUGGUCUACUUAACAUAGUUCAGUUCCAAUUCACCUCCUUUCUGGCCUGCACCCCCACCGGAAACCCUCCAAGCGGCGGUGGAGUUCCGGGGGUUGCCGGAGCGCUUCUUAGUGGCACGUGCAACGGUGCUAGUGGCAGCCUUGCCACGGCUUUCACAAAUGCAACUGGAUUUGCUCAGGGUAUAUUAACUCUUGCAGAAGGUAUUGUCAUUGAUCCUAGCAGAGGAAUGCCGUGUUUUCUCACCGUGCGCCUUCCUCUUACCGGAACCACUUGUACAGUGUUCCCUCCCACAGGAAUCCUAGAAGCAGCUUUUCAGUUGCUUAGUGUGGUUAACAAUCCUCUUGGUGGUCUUGUUGCUAUUGUCACCACCGUGCCGUGGGUCUAUAGGCCCUAGCCAACAAGGCAAAUUAUAUCUAUGUAUAAGCUGAUUCUCUGUGUAAAAUAACUAUCUGCAUAUGUGCAUAUGCAUGCUUCUACUGCAUGCAUGCAAGUGUUUCGUGCUUUAAAUUAUGCAACAUGUAAUAUUGUGUUAUGCUAUGUAAUUUCAGUUUAUUCAUUAUAAAGAAGAAUCAAUUAAUUUCAUGUGAAGAGUAUAAAUAUAUUAUUGAAUAUUUAAUGUUUAAUGUUUAAUGUCAUCAUGACAUCAAUAAUAAAUUUGGGCGUAAUUUGGUUGUAUUCCCUGAAAAUAUCCUUAUCAAGUUAUCUGUAGUAUUGUACUGUGUAGGGUUGUAUUCCCGCUUCUGUGAAAUGUCUAAUACACUCAUAUUCAUCAUAUAAUUAUAGAAAUACAAGCCAAAAACCAUUUAAUGCAUUUAAUCUAUUAAAUGUUAUUGAUUGCUCUCAUUACACAUAAAAUAAUGACAUUAAUUAUGCUUAUCAUCUUACAUUAAAAUCUCAUUUAUAAAAGUACCCCCUUCAUGAACUUUGGGCAUGCAAUUUAAAGUUCAUUGACCGCAUAGUUACAUGACUUAUUUUUAAAUUUUUAUUUUUGCAAAUAAAAAUUAAACUAUGAAAUUUUCAUUUACAAAAGAAAAAAUAAAAAAAUAAAUUUCGAAAGUAGACGGUAAAUGCACCUAAAGUUACGUUCCCAAAGUCAACUAUCUCGGGAUGGAGGUAGUGUCACUAACUAAUUUGUCGAUACAAAAUACUCAUUGAAGUCAUUAAUCAAACAUUUAAUUCAUGUAAACUUAAAUCAAUUAAUACAUAAAAGUAUUUAUGUGUAUUGAUUUGUGACUUUUAUUUAAAUAUAGCAACAUAAUCACUUUAGUGAAUCCAAAAAUUUCAUUUAUUUUAUUUAGAAUAUAUUUACUUUUAUACAUACAAGAGUAAGAAAUGGCGAAAAGAGCUUAUAAAUUGAGGGUGAAAGGGUGAAUAUGCCCCAUUUAUCAUAUAAUUACAGAAAAUAUCAUUACUUAUUUAGUGUCAUUAGUUAAUUUAUUCGCACAAUAAGAUAGUUACUUGAUUGUAUUUAUCACUUACAUUCAAGCCUCAGUUAAAAAAUUGUCAUUAAAUUAUCAUUAAUUAAUUUAGUUAUAUAAAUGAAAUUUAAAAUCAUUAAUUUAAUAACACAACUACUUAAAUCGUACUUGUGACUUCUUAUUCAAAUUUCACAAUCACAACCACUAAAUUGGAAUGUUAUGAAGUUUUGAAAACAAAAUAAAUUAUUAUAUACGUGAUUAAAAAUUAUUUAAUGAUUGAUUUAAUCAAAGAAAUAUAUCUAUUUUAAACUUGUAUAAAAAAAUUAUCUUUAUAAUUGUGCUCUAAUGAUAGUCCCAUCAUACAUCACAUAUUCUGUGACACCAAUUCUACACACUUUCAUCUCGACUCCAUGUUAAACAUUAAAAAAUUAUAUAUUGGGUCCGAAGAUAUCUUAAGUAUUAUCAAAAUAUUCGAAUACCCCAUACACUUUAAUUAAAAAAACAGGAGUGUGAGAUAGUGGUGGUGAUACAUUGUCAUUUAAUCACAAUCAAAAUAUCAAAAAUUAUAUUUCCAUAACAAGAAUUCUUGUAAUAUCAUGAAACUUAUCUUGAUUCGACAACACCAGCAAAUCAGCCUAAAUAUAUGUUUACAAUGCAUAAUAAAUUAAAAAUAUUAUAUUUUCACUCACUUAAACAAGUGAAUCGAACUCACGUAUUUACAAAAAAAAAAAGGAAAAAGAAAUGAUAUGCAUGUUCCAAACAAAAUAAUUAUAAAAAGAAAUGAUUUAAAAUAGAAUAUAAAUUAGCGGCCCGUGCCUUGCACGGAUUUUUAUGCAAGUUAUAUAAUAAACGGGAAAAAGGAGAAUCAAUUAUAAUUAAUUUCAUGAUGCCAAAAGGAAGUAAUUUAAUCAUAAUACAAAUAAAAAAUAACCUUUCAGGAGUCCGAUGAUACUUUUACAUAAUAAGAUUCAUCAGAUGUACAAACACAACAUCUAAAUUGUUUCUUUUCCUUAACGAUAUUUGGUGUUCAUUCGUAUUAAAAUUAAUUUAUUCACUUUUUACUCAUAUUGAAUCCGAGUUUGCACAUUAAUAUUCAAAUCUUUUUUUUUAUGUUCAGCUGAAUUAAUCAAGGCUGAAAUUGUUUAUUUUUUCUAUUCAUAAUUGAAUAUAUAUUUAUAACUACUUGUUUGCAUUCUUGUAAUUCAAAGAAAGAAGGAUCCUUCACCGUUUAUUAGAUAUAUAUACAUGAACUUUUUGUAUGAACAGAAAUUAGUACAAUAUAUAUUAGAUAUUAGAUAUUAAUGUGUAGUAAUCAUUUAUUUAAUUAUAGAAUUAUGCCUCUACAUGGAUCCAUUUUUUUCUGGGCAGGUGGUCCCCAUGACACCGUCUUUUAUAUCUUCAACACUGUAAGUAUGUUGAGAAAAUAUAAAUUGGAAUUUAUGUUAUAUAAUAUUUGAAAUUAUAUUAUUAUAUAAAUAUGAAAAUUGCAGGAGUCUCAGGUGUUUGAACUAAGAGUGAGUAUAUAGUAAUUGGCUUCGUUACAAGAAAUAUAAUUCGGUAAACCGAUUGAUGAAGUGAAAUAGGAGAAAAAAAGUUAUUUCUGUUAAAAUUAAAAACUGAAAUAUUUUUAAAAAAAUGAAAAAUACAUAAAAUUUAUAAAUUAUAAAUGGAAUAUAAAAAAAAGAAAAAAACAACCACCUAGACUAGCACGUUCCACAGGAAAGUUACCUCUUCCUGCCUCGCUCUGUAUAUUAAAAUAAUAUAAAUACUUUCUCGUUGUAUUCUAUUUAUGAACAAUUCUUUUACAUUCUUUACCCAUAUUUUAAGAUGUAUAUAAAAUAUUUUUUUUCAUAUUUUAUUUUUGAAAUUUUAAUUUUCAAAAUAAAAAUUUUAAUAUUAAAUUUUUAUUAAAAACAAAAUUGAAAUAAUUUAUUAAAUUGUACUCCCUCUGUCCCAUUUAAUUGUAUACGUUUCUUUUCAACUGCUCGACACGCAUUUCAAUGCUCUUAUAAAAUAUAGUUCCGUAACUUUAUUUUGAGAUUUUCUUUUUCUGAAUAAAAAUAUAACAUCCAAACUUUAAUUCAGAAAAAGAAAAUUUCAAAAAGACGGAGGGAGUACCAGAUAAGAUGUGUCCAACCCCUCCUCAAAUUAAUAACAAUAACGAGGGAAUAGCCUUGCAUUCAAGUAAACAAAUGAACUUUUGCAUCUCCAUUAUUAAAAUCAAAAAACAACAAAUGUUCAAAAUUGUUCUAAAUAAUUAUUAUAAUCAUCUUGCUCACCAGUAUCAUAAUUCAUACCAAUGAAUGUUCUAAACUUUACCAAACAUGCUCUAAUUCCCUCGUCAACCCCACAGAAUCCAAGUUGAACAAGACGACAGGCUAUGAACAUGCAGAAUCCAAGUUGAAGAAGACGAGAGCCCGAUGGGAUAUGAAUGUAAGAUCACGCCUUCCAACUUGCAAUAUCAUUACUCGAUCUCCUAUAUAUAUUCGGACCAUUUAGGAAGUGAUGUACAGCUAGUGUCUUAUCUUUUGAAUGUAAAAUUAAAAUAAUAUGUAAAUAUGAAAUGGAGGAUCCAUCAAUCAACUAGCUAAAACUCCUCAUGCGGCCCCGCACAAUAUUCUUGUAGUGCCUUGUUACAACACUGUUAAGUGCUAAGCCAGUGAUACAGUAUAGUUCAUGUUUUUCUGCAAUACCUCUGGAUUCUGGAAACCUUCCAACAGGCAGCUACUGUCGUGGCUGGAAAUAGCUCUUAAUAUCCUGGAUUCUAAAAAAUUAUUAUAAUAUGGUGAGGAAUUUCAAAAGUCUUUAGCAACAUUGUUUUUCUGCUAGACAUGUAGCUGUUUUAUUUUUAUUUUUUGCUAAUUGACAUGUAGCUGUUUGCUAGAUAUAUAGGUGGAGGAUUCCGAUUAUUUUAAUAAUUUUUAUGUGGGUACAAAUUUAUAAUCCAUAAUACAAUCAAUAAUUAACUCAGUGACACAAAAAACAAUCAAAUCAUUAAAUUGAAUAUUAUUAAAUUAGUAAUCAUAAUAUUUGAAUAUUUAAAUAUUUUAAUUAAACGGGGCCAUAGUUUAUAUAUAUCAUUAGCUAUUAAAUAUAAUAUGCAAGAUUAUUUAAAAAUGUUAUAUUGUACGAUAUAUAAAAACCAACUAUCUAAGGAGUGGGAGACAAAUGUUAGGAAAAGUGAGCACUUCUGUUCGUGUCAAUUAUUAAUUUUUAAAUAAUACACUUUGGGUCUGGAGUGGUAUAUAAAUGAUAUGGGUUAUCUGCGUCAAGAAAAAAUAUAAUUAAAAAAAUAGUAAAAUUUAGAUAUAGAAAGGACACAGCAAGUAGACGCAUACCAUAUUAGGAAAGGUGAAAGAUAUUGAGCACUGGACCAAUAACUUCUUUUGGACAAUUUUUCCACUAAAAAAAGUAUACCAUUAAACUUUUUAAAAGGUACAUUCAAUCUUUAUAUAUAUACCACAAAGAUAGAUGUAUGGGUACGUACAAUGAGAGUGUUGAUAAUUUAAGUUACCCCACCGCCAUCUCUUAUUAUAUUAGAUAUAUUUACAGACUUUGAAUUAAGUACUUUGAGGAACCUCUAUAAAUUCGGAGUCUAGCUCAUUGAGCUCCUCACACAUUCAAAUUACAACACAAGUAUUAUAUCAAGCAUCUCAUUCUUCCAAUGACUUACUAUAAUUUAGCCAAGUUGGUGAUUCUUGUAUCAACCCUGGUGUUUCUAUCUGGCUCACUGCCUCAAGGCCAUGCACAGGUGCAACCACAACUUGUUACAGGACUUACAGGUCUACUUAACAUAACCCGGAUCCAAUUUACCACCGUGCAGCUGGCCUGCACCCCUACUGGAAACCCUCCAAGUACAGGCGGUGGAGUUGCAGGGGUUGCCGGAGCGCUUUUUGGUGGUUCUUGCAACGGUGCUACUGGCAGCCUUGCAGGGGUUUUCACAAAUGCAAGUGGAUUUGCUCAAGGUAUAUUAACUCUGGCAGAAGGUAUUGUCAUUGAUCCUAGCAGAGGAAUGCCGUGUUUUAUCAACACGCGCCUUCCUGUUACUGGAACCACUUGUACAGUCUUGCCUCCCACAGGACUCCUACAAGCAGUUUUUCAGUUGAUUAGUGUGGUUACCAAUCCUUUUGGUGGUCUUCUAGCUGUUGCCACCACCGGACCGUGGGUGAUUAUGCCCUAGCCCACAAGGCAUGCAAAAACAAUCCUGUCUACCCACACCCCCAAUGUCCCAAUGGCAAACUAUAUAUGUAUAAGUUGAUUCUCUGUGUGAAAUAAUUAUCUGCAUUUAUGUAUAUGCAUGCUUCUACGGCAUGCAUGCAAGUGUUUCGUGCUUUAAAAUGCAGCAUGUAAUAUUGUGUAAUGCUAUGUAAUUUCACUUUAUUCAUAAUAAAGAAGAAUCAAUUAAUUU
rnacentral:lncRNA from 1 species